rnacentral:rRNA from 2 species
UUGAUGUUCUAACGUGGACCCGUGAUCCGGGUUGCGGACAGUGUCUGGUGGGUAGUUUGACUGGGGCGGUCUCCUCCUAAAGAGUAACGGAGGAGCACGAAGGUUGGCUAAUCCUGGUCGGACAUCAGGAGGUUAGUGCAAUGGCAUAAGCCAGCUUGACUGCGAGCGUGACGGCGCGAGCAGGUGCGAAAGCAGGUCAUAGUGAUCCGGUGGUUCUGAAUGGAAGGGCCAUCGCUCAACGGAUAAAAGGUACUCCGGGGAUAACAGGCUGAUACCGCCCAAGAGUUCAUAUCGACGGCGGUGUUUGGCACCUCGAUGUCGGCUCAUCACAUCCUGGGGCUGAAGUAGGUCCCAAGGGUAUGGCUGUUCGCCAUUUAAAGUGGUACGCGAGCUGGGUUUAGAACGUCGUGAGACAGUUCGGUCCCUAUCUGCCGUGGGCGCUGGAGAACUGAGGGGGGCUGCUCCUAGUACGAGAGGACCGGAGUGGACGCAUCACUGGUGUUCGGGUUGUCAUGCCAAUGGCACUGCCCGGUAGCUAAAUGCGGAAGAGAUAAGUGCUGAAAGCAUCUAAGCACGAAACUUGCCCCGAG